rnacentral:rRNA from 1 species
UAAGGGCGCACGGUGGAUGCCUUGGCACUAGAAGCCGAUGAAGGACGUUACUAACGACGAUAUGCUUUGGGGAGCUGUAAGUAAGCUUUGAUCCAGAGAUUUCCGAAUGGGGAAACCCAGCAUGAGUUAUGUCAUGUUAUCGAUAUGUGAAUACAUAGCAUAUCAGAAGGCACACCCGGAGAACUGAAACAUCUUAGUACCCGGAGGAAGAGAAAGAAAAUUCGAUUCCCUUAGUAGCGGCGAGCGAAACGGGAAGAGCCCAAACCAACAAGCUUGCUUGUUGGGGUUGUAGGACACUCUAUACGGAGUUACAAAGGACGACAUUAGACGAAUCAUCUGGAAAGAUGAAUCAAAGAAGGUAAUAAUCCUGUAGUCGAAAAUGUUGUCUCUCUUGAGUGGAUCCUGAGUACGACGGAGCACGUGAAAUUCCGUCGGAAUCUGGGAGGACCAUCUCCUAAGGCUAAAUACUCUCUAGUGACCGAUAGUGAACCAGUACCGUGAGGGAAAGGUGAAAAGCACCCCGGAAGGGGAGUGAAAUAGAACCUGAAACCGUGUGCUUACAAGUAGUCAGAGCCCGUUAAUGGGUGAUGGCGUGCCUUUUGUAGAAUGAACCGGCGAGUUACGAUUUGAUGCAAGGUUAAGCAGUAAAUGUGGAGCCGUAGCGAAAGCGAGUCUGAAUAGGGCGUUUAGUAUUUGGUCGUAGACCCGAAACCAGGUGAUCUACCCUUGGUCAGGUUGAAGUUCAGGUAACACUGAAUGGAGGACCGAACCGACUUACGUUGAAAAGUGAGCGGAUGAACUGAGGGUAGCGGAGAAAUUCCAAUCGAACCUGGAGAUAGCUGGUUCUCUCCGAAAUAGCUUUAGGGCUAGCCUCAAGUGAUGAUUAUUGGAGGUAGAGCACUGUUUGGACGAGGGGCCCCUCUCGGGUUACCGAAUUCAGACAAACUCCGAAUGCCAAUUAAUUUAACUUGGGAGUCAGAACAUGGGUGAUAAGGUCCGUGUUCGAAAGGGAAACAGCCCAGACCACCAGCUAAGGUCCCAAAAUAUAUGUUAAGUGGAAAAGGAUGUGGCGUUGCCCAGACAACUAGGAUGUUGGCUUAGAAGCAGCCAUCAUUUAAAGAGUGCGUAAUAGCUCACUAGUCGAGUGACACUGCGCCGAAAAUGUACCGGGGCUAAACAUAUUACCGAAGCUGUGGAUUGUCCUUUGGACAAUG